GAUGAACGCUAGCGGCAGGCCUAAUACAUGCAAGUCGAACGGUGUCUUCGGACAUAGUGGCGCACGGGUGCGUAACACGUAUGCAACCUACCUUACAUUGGGGGAUAGCCUUUCGAAAGGGAGAUUAAUACCGCAUAAGACAGUAGCUGGGCAUCAAGCGGCUGUUAAAGAUUUAUCGAUGUAAGCUGGGCAUGCGUCCAAUUAGCUAGUUGGUGAGGUAACGGCUCACCAAGGCAAUGAUUGGUAGGGGAACUGAGAGGUCAAUCCCCCACACUGGCACUGAGAUACGGGCCAGACUCCUACGGGAGGCAGCAGUAGGGAAUAUUGGGCAAUGGACGCAAGUCUGACCCAGCCAUGCCGCGUGCAGGAUGAAGGCGUUAUGCGUUGUAAACUGCUUUUAUACAGGAAGAAGCGACUCUUGCGAGAGGCAUUGACGGUACUGUAUGAAUAAGCACCGGCUAACUCCGUGCCAGCAGCCGCCGCUGUAA
rnacentral:rRNA from 1 species